rnacentral:tRNA from 1 species
UAUUUACCCUCCCUAAGACU